rnacentral:rRNA from 1 species
AACGCUAGCUACAGGCUUAACACAUGCAAGUCGAGGGGAAACGACAUCGAAAGCUUGCUUUUGAUGGGCGUCGACCGGCGCACGGGUGAGUAACGCGUAUCCAACCUGCCCACCACUUGGGGAUAACCUUGCGAAAGUAAGACUAAUACCCAAUGAUAUCUCUAGAAGACAUCUGAAAGAGAUUAAAGAUUUAUCGGUGAUGGAUGGGGAUGCGUCUGAUUAGCUUGUUGGCGGGGUAACGGCCCACCAAGGCGACGAUCAGUAGGGGUUCUGAGAGGAAGGUCCCCCACAUUGGAACUGAGACACGGUCCAAACUCCUACGGGAGGCAGCAGUGAGGAAUAUUGGUCAAUGGACGAGAGUCUGAACCAGCCAAGUAGCGUGAAGGAUGAAGGUCCUACGGAUUGUAAACUUCUUUUAUAAGGGAAUAAACCCUCCCACGUGUGGGAGCUUGUAUGUACCUUAUGAAUAAGCAUCGGCUAACUCCGUGCCAGCAGCCGCGGUAAUACGGAGGAUGCGAGCGUUAUCCGGAUUUAUUGGGUUUAAAGGGAGCGCAGACGGGUCGUUAAGUCAGCUGUGAAAGUUUGGGGCUCAACCUUAAAAUUGCAGUUGAUACUGGCGUCCUUGAGUGCGGUUGAGGUGUGCGGAAUUCGUGGUGUAGCGGUGAAAUGCUUAGAUAUCACGAAGAACUCCGAUUG